GACAAUAUUUUCUUUAGAAAUUUGAAGAAAAUGUAUUUGCCAGUUUAUAGAAUGAAAUAGCAAUGUUUGUUUUACUCAAACACACACCUAUCUAUGACCGAGGUGCUGCUUGGAUUUUUUUUCUAAUGUGUUGCCUUUUUUGUCCUAGACUGGAAGUGACUGAAAGAAAACGGAGACUUAUUCUUUCAGCAAGGUGACCAAAAUCUGUUUCGCUCUGCAGCACUUGUCCCGGAGGCUUUGUAGACAGAGUGACUGAACGAAAACCUAAAUGAGAAAUAGGAACAACAUGUUUAGAAGAUGAAGUGUUGAAGCCUCGGCAGCUUCAGUAUGCUGUGUACCUCAUCUUGAACUCUUUCACAUGGUGAUUCCUACACAUAAUUGCACACUGUAUGUGUUUAGCUAUCCUAUCUUACAAAGACUUAUGCCAACACUGUAUCUGCCUUUCCUCAAUACAAUGUAAAAAGUGCUGCAUAGACCAUUUAGAGAAGCAAUGUCUCGUGACUUUUACUGUAUGUUUAUUUUUGAUCAAGUGUCAUUUGUUUUGUAAAAUAUCUUUGCAGAUUUUCUUUUCAUGCCUGGACACUUUUUUUCUUUCAAAUAUUGCUUUGAAUUGAUGCAAAUUGAAGAACGUGAAU